rnacentral:rRNA from 1 species
GACGAACGCUGGCGGCGUGCCUAAUACAUGCAAGUAGAACGCACAGUUUAUACCGUAGCUUGCUACACCAUAGACUGUGAGUUGCGGACGGGUGAGUAACGCGUAGGUAACCUGCCUGGUAGCGGGGGAUAACUAUUGGAAACGAUAGCUAAUACCGCAUAAUAUUAAUUAUUGCAUGAUAAUUAAUUGAAAGGUGCAAUUGCACCACUACCAGAUGGACCCGCGUUGUAUUAGCUAGUAGGUGAGGUAACGGCUCACCUAGGCGACGAUACAUAGCCGACCUGAGAGGGUGAUCGGCCACACUGGGACUGAGACACGGCCCAGACUCCUACGGGAGGCAGCAGUAGGGAAUCUUCGGCAAUGGACGAAAGUCUGACCGAGCAACGCCGCGUGAGUGAAGAAGGUUGUCGGAUCGUAAAGCUCUGUUGUAAGAGAAGAACGGGUGUGAGAGUGGAAAGUUCACACUGUGACGGUAUCUUACCAGAAAGGGACGGCUAACUACGUG